GUAACAUGAGGAAAGCUUGCUUUCCUUGAUGACGACUGGCGCACGGGUGAGUAACGCGUAUCCAACCUUCCCAUAACUACGGGAUAACCCGUUGAAAGACGGCCUAAUACCGUAUGAUAUCGUUUGCUGACAUCAAAUAACGAUUAAAGGUUUAGCGGUUAUGGAUGGGGAUGCGUCUGAUUAGCUUGUUGGCGGGGUAACGGCCCACCAAGGCUACGAUCAGUAGGGGUUCUGAGAGGAAGGUCCCCCACAUUGGAACUGAGACACGGUCCAAACUCCUACGGGAGGCAG
rnacentral:rRNA from 1 species